AAAUUUGAAUUUUGUUUUGAUUAUUUGUGUAUUAAUAAUUUGAUUGAAAUAACUUUUUUUUUAGUAAAUUUUAUUGAAAUAAUUAUUUUAACUAUAGUUCAUAGUACUGUGAAGGAAAAUUUUUAAUUUUUUUAAAGCAUACUUUUUUUGUAGUACCUUUUGUAUCAGGGUUUAUCAAUUUUUAAUUAAUUAUUAUUAAUUUUCCCGAAAUUAAAAGAGAUAUAAUAUAAUGAAAGUUUAUGUGUCAAAAUAAUUUUUAAUUUUAUUAUAGAGGUUAUAUGCUAUUCAAUUUUAAAUAUCUGGUUUCUUAAUAAAUGAAUUUAAUUUAGGUUAAUUUUUGUUAUUUUAUAAUUUUAUUUUUUUUAAUAAAAUUAACUAAUAGUAUAGGGGAUAAGCUCUUUACUAGAUCUAUAAUUAAUAAUUUUUUGGAGUUUUAGUAGGCUUGAUAACAGCCAUCUUAAAUUUCGUUAUAGUUUAUAUUCCUUAAAAUUUUAUUUAUUUUUAAUUUAGAUUUUUAUUAAGAUAUACAAUUUAAUUUUUUAUUUGUAGAAAUAAUGAUAGAAUUAGUAGUUUUGAAUAUUUAAAUAUAGUAACUCGGCAAAUUUGAUUCUCGCCUGUUUAACAAAAACAUGUCCUAUUGUUAAAUUAAUUUUAGGUCUGACCUGCCCAAUGAUUAAUUUUUAAUGGCUGCAGUAUUAUAACUGUACAAAGGUAGCAUAAUCAUUUGUCUUUUAAUUGGAGGCUCGUAUGAAUGGUUGGACGAGGAAUCAGCUUUCUUUAUUUAAUUUUUAUGAAUUUGAUUUUUUAGUUAAAAAGCUUAAAUGAUUUUGCAAGACGAGAAGACCCUAUAGAAUUUUAUUAAUUUGAUUAUAUAUAAUUUUUGGAUUUUGAAUAUUUUAAUAUAACUAAAUUAAUUUUGUUGGGGUGACAGUGAGAUUUAUUAAACUCUCAUUAUAAUAUUUCAUUGAUUUAUGUAUUUUUUGAUCCUAUAUUAUGGAUUAUAAGAUUAAAUUACCUUAGGGAUAACAGCGUAAUUCUUUCGGAGAGUUCUUAUCGAUGAAUGGAGUUUGCGACCUCGAUGUUGGAUUAAAGUGUGUAUUGGGUGCAGAAGCUCAAUUACUAAGUCUGUUCGACUUUUAAAUCUUUACAUGAUCUGAGUUCAGACCGGCGUGAGCCAGGUUGGUUUCUAUCUGCAAUUUUAUUUUAUAUUUUAGUACGAAAGGACCAAAUAUAAAUAAUAAUUAUUUUUAUAUUGAAUUUUAUUA
rnacentral:rRNA from 1 species